UACGUAGGUGGCGAGCGUUAUCCGGAUUUAUUGGGCGUAAAGAGUGCGCAGGCGGUUUGUUAAGUCUAAGAUAAAAGCCCGGAGCUUAACUUCGGUUCGUCUUAGAAACUGGCAGACUUGAGUAUGGUAGAGGCAAAUGGAAUUCCUAGUGUAGCGGUGGAAUGCGUAGAUAUUAGGAGGAACACCAGUGGCGAAGGCGGUUUGCUGGGCCAUUACUGACGCUCAUGCACGAAAGCGUGGGGAGCAAAUAG
rnacentral:rRNA from 1 species